UCUCCGUAGGUGAACCUGCGGAGGGAUCAUUACAAGUGACCCCGGUCUUACCACCGGGAUGUUCAUAACCCUUUGUUGUCCGACUCUGUUGCCUCCGGGGCGACCCUGCCUUCGGGCGGGGGCUCCGGGUGGACACUUCAAACUCUUGCGUAACUUUGCAGUCUGAGUAAACUUAAUUAAUAAAUUAGAACUUUUAACAACGGAUCUCUUGGUUCUG
rnacentral:misc_RNA from 1 species